UUUUGGCAUAUCAAAAAGCGGAGGAAAAGAAACCAACAGGGAUUGCCCUAGUAACGGCGAGUGAAGCGGCAACAGCUCAAAUUUGAAAUCUGGCCUCUUUUGGGGUCCGAGUUGUAAUUUGCAGAGGGCGCUUUGGAGUCGGCAGCGGUCCAAGUUCCUUGGAACAGGACGUCACAGAGGGUGAGAAUCCCGUACGUGGUCGCUAGCCUUCUCCGUGUAAAGCCCCUUCGACGAGUCGAGUUGUUUGGGAAUGCAGCUCUAAAUGGGAGGUAAAUUUCUUCUAAAGCUAAAUAUUGGCCAGAGACCGAUAGCGCACAAGUAGAGUGAUCGAAAGAUGAAAAGCACUUUGGAAAGAGAGUCAAAAAGCACGUGAAAUUGUUGAAAGGGAAGCGCUUGCAGCCAGACUUGCCUGUAGUUGCUCAUCCGGGCUUUUGCCCGGUGCACUCUUCUAUAGGCAGGCCAGCAUCAGUUUGGGCGGUUGGAUAAAGGUCUCUGUCAUGUACCUCUCUUCGGGGAGAACUUAUAGGGGAGACGCCAUGCAACCAGCUCAGACUGAGGUCCGCGCAUUCGCUAGGAUGCUGGCGUAAUGGCUGUAAGCGGCCCGUCUUGAAACACGGACCCAAAA
rnacentral:rRNA from 1 species